AGUGUCUCGGGCUCAGGCUGAAAGAGACUGGCAGCUUUCACUUCCUGUCUUUUGAAAGUCUCUUGAACUUCGGACCUGGGGGAAGCCAGCUGCCGAGUGAGAAGUCUGACUAUCCGGAGAUGGCGGUGAGUAUAGAGAAUUUCUGCUAGGUCUCCUGUGUUUCAGCCAUCCCAGCCCAGGCACCACGACACAUUAUCAAAGGACUAUCUUGGACCUUCUCAUCCCAGCAAACAUCCAAUGGAGAAGAAUGAAGACUCCAGGCAUAUGAUCCCACUCUAGCCAUCCCAGGAGCCCCCAGCUAUCCAAACAACUACAGCUGUGGCCAAAAACAUCGUGUAUCAGGGACAAACUCUCUGCUUAUGGCUGCUCUAAUCCUUGACCUACAGAAUCAUGAAAUUUGUGGAUACGGUCAUGAUCUUGAUUUUGGCGAUGGUUUCACAGUAACUCAUGCUUUCAAAAUAUCAGGAAGCAAAUGAGAAAAGGAAAAAAAGACAUUCAUUGUAUAUGCUGUGAAGUAAUCCUGCCAAAGGACACUUUGGGCUCCGCAGUGAGUAUAUUUUUUCCUUAAAAAUUGCCAAUUUCUUGAUCUAUAUUCUAUGAUAAAAGUUUUAAUAUUUUGCUAAGUUAAUUAGUAUUGCCUAUUGACCAACAUGUUCUAUUUAGUGUACUGCUUCACCAAGUGCCAACAUAUACGUCUCCAGUGACUGCUGAUGGCUGAGUCUCCUUAUGUUAGUAAAUUUCUAAACAUUUUUCUUAGUACAUGGAGUAACGUGUUAUGUUGAUCAAUGUUUGAUGACACUUAAAUGUAACUACAAUGCAGUAAUUCGAAGGUAAGAAAAAGUUGCCAUGACUCUCAUUUCUUUGAAAUUGUGUACAAUGAAAGGCUUCUCAGCAUGAUACCCCAACUAAAAUUUAGGCGUAUGACAGCACUUAUAAGUAAAUCCAUUUUAUUUGAGUAAAUAUUGAGUUUCAUUUACCUUUUAGCAAAUUCCGAAGUAGCAUCUCCAUAAAUUUAAACUGAUUUUACUUAUUGAGUCCUAUUACUAACUUUAAAAGACAAUCUACUUUGGAUCAUUUUGAGCAUCACAUAUUGCUUACGUAAAAUAAGUUUAAAUCUGAGUCAAUAAUGAUACUAAGCAAACAAAUAAAAUCAUUGGUCACUGUAUUAAGUCUGUUUUCAUGCUGUUGAUAAAGACAUACCCAUGACUGGGCAAUUUACAAAAGAAAUGUUUAAUUGGACUUACAGUUCCACGUGUGGCUGGGGAAGCCUCACAAUCAUGGUGGAAGGCGAAAGGCACAUCUCACAUGAUAGCAGACAAGGGAAAAGAGCUUGUGCUGGGGAACUCCUUUUUUAAAACCAUCAGAUCUCGUGACACUUAUCUACUAUCAGCACGGGAAAGACCUUCCCCCAUGAUUCAAUUACCUUCCACCAGUCCCUCACAUAAUAUAUGAGAAUUCAAGAUGAGAUUUGGGUGGGGACACAGCAAAACCAUAUCAGUCACCUUUGGAGAAUACUAGAGAAUUAACUAACUAUUCUGAAAAUCAGUAAUUAAAGGGAAAGAAGCAAACAUUUUUUCUGUCUUUCCAUAAAAAAUUGUACUUUGAACAACCAAAUGGGUGAUAAUGAAAGAAAGUUCCUCUUUAUAAAAGUAACUGAAGAGGCCAGGCGUGGUGGCUCAUGCCUGUAAUCCCAGCACUUUGGGAGGCCGUGAUGGGCAGAUCACUUGAGCCCAGAAGUUUGAGACCAGCCUGUGCAACAUAUCUAGACCCUGUCUUUAAAAAGAAAGAAAAAAUUUAAAACAGUAACUGAGCAUCAGCUAUUGUGGGCACACUGCCUAUGGGUAGCCCUGCUCCACAAGGAGCAGUUAAAAAAAAAAGUAACUCAGUAGAUAAAUGAGAAAGGAAUGAUAAUUACAAUAACAAGAUGUGGCAAUCCUGAUUUAAUUAAUGAAUCUAAGCAAAAAGCAAUGGCUUUGAAUAGAACACAGAAAAGAAACAACUAAAUAUUAUGUGCCUCCUGGUUGAAAUAUACACAAUUAUCUAUGAUUUCAUCUUUUGAACCUGAAUCUGAUCAAGCCUCUAGAUCUAUUCAUCAAUUUAUAUAAAACACAAGAGACACAGAAAAGACAAAGGAAUGUACUAAACUACAGCAUGAGGUACAAUCAAGCAAAAUUCAUACCAUGGAAACUAUAGAACAAACAAUUUAGUUUCUUGCAGAAAUAAAUUGCAAGGGAAAAAUAAAGACAUGGUUAAAGACACUUCGGAGAUAUGCUUACCAGAUGCAAUUUAUGGAUGUGUAUUAGCGUUCUCCAGAGAAACAGAACCAAGAGGAUAUAUAUGGGUAUAUAAGAGGGAAUUUGUUAUGGAAGCCAGCUCACAUGAUUAUGGAGGGUGAGAAGUUCCACAACAUCCCAUCUGCAAGCUGUACAACCAAGGAAGCCAAUGUUGUAAUUCAGUCUGAGUCCGAAGGCCAGAGAAACUGGGGCCAUUGGUGUAAUCUUGGAGUCUGAAAGCUCAAUGAAGUCAGGAGAAGAUGGAUGUCCCAGCCCCAAGAGGGAGAGAAUUUGCCCUUCUCUUUUUAUUCUAUUGGAACCCUUAACAGAUUGGAUGAUGCCUGUCCAUAUUGAUGAGGGUGGUUCUUCUGUACUCAGUUUACUGCUUCAAAUGCUAGUCUCUUCUGAAAAUUCUCUCACAGACCCACCCAGAAAUGUUUUACCAGCUAUCUGGCUAUCCCUUAACCCAGUCAAGUUGACACAUAAAAUUAACCAUCACAGAAUGUUAUUUGGAUUCAGAUUUUAAUCAACAAAGUGUGAAAAAGUAAUAAGAUUAUUGGAGAAAUUUGUGUGUUGGCUGGAUAUUUAAUGAUGACAAGAAAGUUUUCAUUUUUGCAGGUGUGCUAAUGGUAUUGUGGGUUUUGUUGAGUCUUUAUCUUCUAAAAAUACUUCCUAAAAUAGUUACAGAAGAAAAGAUUUAUAAUCUGAAAUUUGCUUCCAAAUUAUCCAAGAGUCUGGUGUUGGGGUUGGGGACUGAGUGGAAGUACAGACAAGGCAAUCUUGGCCAUGGGUUCAUGCCCAAAUUUCUUAUUCUUAUUAUAAGGACACCAAUCAGAUUAGAUCAUGGACCACUCUAAUGGCCUGAUUUUAACUUAAUCACCUUUAAAGUUCUCUUUCCAAAUACAGUCACAUUCUGAGGUACUGGGGGUUAAGGCAUUAGUGGGAAUUUGCAGGGACAUAAUUCAGUUCAUAACAAGUCCAUUCAGAAUCUUGCUCUGUUUAUUUGUGAUAUCAAUGCCAUAUAAACUGCUUAAAAUGGUUACCUUCAAUAUUGGCUCAAAAGCUAAACUUUGUAAGCUCCUGGCAUUAAUCACCAUGCUAUACUUUGCAAAGUCCACAGCCAAACAAUCCUAACCACUCCUUCACUUUCAGACUAAUUCUAUAGUUCUAUUUUCUCCAAUAUGGUAGUCACACAUGAACUAGUAAACACUUGAAAUGUGGCUGAUCCAAACUGAGAUGUGUUGUAAGUAUACAUUACACUGGAUUUCAAAGACUUAGCAAGAAAAAAAGAAAGAUAUCUCGUUACUAGUUUUUGUAUUGAUUACAUGUUGAAAUGAUAGUUUGGAUAUACUAAAUUAGAUUAUUAAAGUUAAUUUCAGCUGUUCCUUCUUCCUUAAAAAAUAUGGCUAGUAAAUAACUUUAAAAUUAUGUGCUCACUUUAUAUUUCUAUUGGAUGGCACUUUUCAAAAGUACAGGUACCUGUCAUUUGACCUAAGAUUCGCUUCAAAGACUUUCUUUGACUUCCAAUUUAUAACUCUCCCCAAUAAUCCCUUUCCUUUUUGCACCACACAUUUAAUAACCUAGGUGCAGAAUUCUAGCGCUAUAUGCAGUCCUUAAUUCACAUUUCAAACCUGAAGAACAUGUGCCUACUUCUCAGGCAGACAACAUGUAAUGCUAACUGAAAAAAUGUCACUGAAAUUUGUUAUAUUUAUUGAAAUCCUAAGUGAUGGAUAGUUCUGUUGCCUUUUACCAUUUCCAAGGAAAAAGAGAAGCUAUAAUAAUAGCAAUUGACAAAGAUACUCUCAUUUUUCCUUUACCAGUGGUACUAGAUAUUCUCAGGCUGCCGCAGUGGCUUACACCUGUAAUCUCAACACUUUGGGAGGCCAGUGUGGGAGGAUCACUUGAGUCCAGGAGUUCAAGACCCCAUCUCUACAAAAAAAUAAAAAAAAUUGGCUGGGUAUGGUGGUACACGCCUGUAAUCGCAGCUACUUUGGAGGCUGAGGUGGGAGGAUCACUUGAGUCUCAGAGGUCGAGGCAGCAGUGAGCCAUGAUUGCACCACUGCACUCCGGCCUGGGCGAUAGAGUGAGACUCUAUUUCAAAAAUAAAUAAAUAAAUAAUGUAAAAAAGAUACUCUCAUAUUUCAUUUAUAAACAACACUAGAAAAAGUCUUAUGCCCCAAUUUUACCAAAACACUAGAACUGGGCUUAAUACAGAUUUCUAGAAAUUUUUGCAAUACUUACAUAUUUGCAGCUGCUAAAUUUUGUGACAAAGAUAAAUACUUCAUUUUGCUUAAAAGUUGAUGCUGAGAGGAGGAAUUGUAGUUAGGAGUAUUUCAGCAUCAGUAAUUUUUUACUUUUUCAGGAACAUAAAAUAUGAUUAACAUCCACUGCUUGUAUUUCUUGGCAGGCUCAGUUGUAUCUUACCCAGAUUUUCAUUUUAGUACAAUUAAUCCAUACAGGUUUAAUUAGGUAGAUUUAAAUGCUUAUCAAAUGAGUAUACUUAUUUGGCAGCACAACAGUGGCUCGAAACCUACAGGAUUAAAAACUUUGCAUUUUGGCUUAUCAUCUAUAUCCCUGAAUGAUAGUUUCCACAAUC
rnacentral:lncRNA from 1 species